GUGCUCAUUUGGGGAGCACAUAUACUAAAAUUGCAACGAUAUAGAGAUUAGCAUGACCCCUGCACAAGGAUGACACGCAAAUUAGUGAAGCGUUCCAUAUUCUU